GGUCUGCCGGACGCGUGUUCCUGCCACCAGGUGCCGCUCCCCGCGAGGCCGGCUCGAGCAGAAGGAAGCCCGGUGCCAGCCAGCCUUCCUGAAAAGACCAAGCCCGCGCCAUCCGGCUUCCUCCAGUGGACGCCUGCAGGACCCAGGAACACUACAUCAACACGCUUGGCGGGGAUCUGGACAAGAAGACUCCUGUUUCAAGAAAAUACAAUCAUCUCUCAAAGGCUGUAAUUUAUAUGCAUUUUAAAACUCUCUAGGCAUUGAAAACCACCCAAGUGUCCCAAAUAGAAGGGUAAAAUAUAAUCAGUCACUCAGUGUAAUAUUAUACAUCCUUUAAAAAUGUUAUUGGGAAAUGUUUUAUGAUCUGUAAGUCCAAGGAAUCUUCUCCCACCAUUUCUUUCUCCCCGCUGUUCCCCCAUACCCACACUUCUUUGUUCCAAUUGCCAUGUAAAUUUGGUUU
rnacentral:lncRNA from 1 species